UACGUAGGGUGCGAGCGUUAAUCGGAAUUACUGGGCGUAAAGAGUGCGCAGGCGGUUUUGUAAGGAAGAUGUGAAAUCCCCGGGCUCAACCUGGGAAUGGCAUUUGGGACUGCAAGGCUUGAGUGCGGCAGAGGAGACUGGAAUUCCUGGUGUAGCAGUGAAAUGCGUAGAUAUCAGGAGGAAUACCGAUGGCGAAGGCAGGUCUCUGGGCUGACACUGACGCUCAUGCACGAAAGCGUGGGGAGCAAACAGG
rnacentral:rRNA from 1 species